UUUUUAAUGAAUGCCCAAAAACUUGCGCUACUUGUGAUGUAUGUGAGGAUUUGAUAGACACAUCAAUUUGUCAAACGAGUUUAAAGGAUUGUCAUAAUAAUUAUAUGAGAUAUGCUUGUAGAAAAACAUGUCUAUAUUGCUUGGAUCCAUGUAAUAACGUUGGUAAUGAUGACUUUUGUAAAUUACACACAACUAAUGGAAUUUGUGAAAAAAAUGACGUUUUUAAAAAAAAUGUGUAGAAAAUCUUGUAACUUUUGUGAAUUGGAACAAUGUUAGUUUUUACCAUUUAUA
rnacentral:lncRNA from 1 species